rnacentral:rRNA from 1 species
CCUACGGGAGGCAGCAGUGGGGAAUAUUGGACAAUGGGCGAAAGCCUGAUCCAGCCAUGCCGCGUGUGUGAAGAAGGCCUUCGGGUUGUAAAGCACUUUCAGCGGGGAAGAAAGCCUUGGGGCUAAUACCCUCGAGGAAGGACAUCACCCACAGAAGAAGCACCGGCUAACUCCGUGCCAGCAGCCGCGGUAAUACGGAGGGUGCGAGCGUUAAUCGGAAUUACUGGGCGUAAAGCGCGCGUAGGCGGUCUGAUAAGCCGGUUGUGAAAGCCCCGGGCUCAACCUGGGAACGGCAUCCGGAACUGUCAGGCUAGAGUGCAGGAGAGGAAGGUAGAAUUCCCGGUGUAGCGGUGAAAUGCGUAGAGAUCGGGAGGAAUACCAGUGGCGAAGGCGGCCUUCUGGACUGACACUGACGCUGAGGUGCGAAAGCGUGGGUAGCAAACAGGAUUAGAUACCCCGGAGUC